CCUACGGGUGGCUGCAGUGAGGAAUAUUGGUCAAUGGGCGGGAGCCUGAACCAGCCAAGCCGCGUGAAGGAAGAAGGCGCCAGGCGUCGUAAACUUCUUUUGUCGGGGAACAAAGGGCGCCACGUGUGGCGUUGUGAGUGUACCCGAAGAAAAAGCAUCGGCUAACUCCGUGCCAGCAGCCGCGGUAAUCCGGAGGCUGCGAGCGUUAUCCGGAUUUAUUGGGUUAAAAGGGUGCUUGGGCGGUCCGGAAAGUCAGCGGUAAAAGCCCGGGGCUCAACCCCGGCGAGCCGUUGAUACUGUCGGACUAGAGACGGGGAGAGGUACGCGGAAUGCGCGGUGUAGCGGUGAAAUGCAUAGAUAUCGCGAAGAACUCCGAUGGCGAAGGCAGCGUACCGGCGCCGGACUGACGCUGAGGCACGAAAGCGUGGGUAUCGAACAGGAUUAGAUACCCUGGUAGUC
rnacentral:rRNA from 1 species